rfam:Operophtera brumata OBRT01_Sc00915, whole genome shotgun sequence.
CACAAGGCCCUUCUCAGGGCCACUAUAUUGUAACCGUCACUCAGGGU